rnacentral:rRNA from 1 species
AACAAACGCUGGCGGCGUGCCUAAUACAUGCAAGUCGAACGGGGAAAGCUUUCGGGUGAGUACUAGUGGCGCACGGGUGAGGAACGCGUGGAUAAUCUGCCUUAGAGUGGGGGAUAACUAGUCGAAAGAUUAGCUAAUACCGCAUAAGACCACAGGAGCUGCGGCUCAAGGGGUCAAAGGUUUUUCGCUCUAAGAUGAGUCCGCGUAAGAUUAGCUAGUUGGUGAGGUAACGGCUCACCAAGGCGACGAUCUUUAACUGGUCUGAGAGGAUGAUCAGUCACACUGGAACUGAGACACGGUCCAGACUCCUACGGGAGGCAGCAGUAGGGAAUAUUGCACAAUGGAGGAAACUCUGAUGCAGCGACGCCGCGUGAGUGAUGAAGGCCUUCGGGUCGUAAAGCUCUGUCGCAGGGGAAUAACACAAUGAAGGUACCCUGUAAGAAAGGAUCGGCUAACUUCGUGCCAGCAGCCGCAGUAAUAC